AGCACUUAUAGAUUAAAUACUGUAUAUAUAUUCAUAAACCAGCAUUAUUUGUUAUAAAUAUGCAAAUUAGCCUUUUACAUUGUAUUACUGCCGAAUUCUUUUUUGCUACUAGUAAUUCCUAAUCCGUACAGAAUGACGCAUGCCUAAUCAGCCUAUAUAAAAUGUUUGAUAUAUAUUUAUAUUUAUUCAUAUUCACAUAUUGUAUAUAUGAAAAUAUAAAAUGUGUGCGUAUACGUGACAAAUGCGUAUGAUAACCCAAAAGAGCAAAAUUUAAGUAGGAAACAUUCGGCAAAAAAGAUAACACUUAUACCAUUGUAUGUUCUUCCACAAAAAAAAAGAUACACCGUGUGUAUCUGUAACACAAGGCGGAAGAAUUUUAUGAAAUACUAUUCGACUAAUGAAUGACUAAAAUACAUUCACAAUUUAAAAUGAUUACAGAAUAUUUACUAUGUAAUGUAAUUUAACUGCAGGUUUAAUUUAAAUGUAAAGUUAGAAACAACUGAUAGUACUGAAAAAUAAAAUACAACUUUCAACCAAUUUAAACGAAUAAACGAAAAUCAAAGCAAAUGAAAAUACACUGGAACAUUAAGACAAUAAUCGUGACAUGUAAUUUUGCUGGAAUAUACAGAUGUAAUGCACCUUUUAAUAUAAAAGGCUCGUAUCAAGCAAAGAUCAAAUAACGGAUACGCAUAGAUAAGCAAAUGUUAGUUGAUAUGAUUUGGAUUGAAUUGAGUAGUCUUAGUUAAAACAAUAUUAUUAAAGUGGGUAGUGUAUGUACACGUUUAUUGGCGUCAGCGUUUUGUGUACUGUAAUGAAAUUCUGUAAAUUGUGCGUGAGUGAUGAACCACAGAUACACAGGUAUUUAUCCUGUGAAUGAAUUCCGCGUCUCUUUUUAGUAUCUCUGCAAAAAACAAAGGUUUGCAGUUGUUAAGAACUAGUAAAAAUCAGAAUCUGUCGAUGAUCCGUGUUUUCACACACACACACACACACAACACACUCUCACAUACACACUGACUUGCUAAAACACGCAAUUCGAUAAUCUGUUAGAUUUAGAGAAGAGAGAUAGAAGGCGCGAGAUGACAAUAAGAGCCCGUAAAAGAAGCGCUAGUGUGAUGCGCGGAAGUGCUAACGACCUCAUCAUCGGCAGCUUUAGCAUAUGAAAAAGUAGGAAAUGAGAGUUGCGGACGCAUGUAAAGCAGCGAUUCACGGCGAAGAAGCCCUGAAGUUGCUGAUCAAGAAGAAGAUCUUUGACCCUCUGCCAGCUGCACCAACCUCUCUGUCCUUUGCUUCUCUCACUCCACUAUCUUUUAAAAGGACAUCCACCAGGAUCAAAAAGUGUCUGUCCUAACCCAAAGUUGAAGAUCAUUUGACUAAGAGUAUUGUCCCUUUCACAAUGCAGGUAGCGCCAAGUGAAUCCUUCGACAGAAAAUGGGGACCUCCUGUUUGGAUCUCCAACACUUCAUCAGUUUUCUAUUUGUUGCAUUUGCAUUAUUUCAUAUCUUACACUCCUUUAACUCCUCUUUGGUGGGUCAGUGUAAUUUCACCAUUGGCAGUCUACAAUUUCACUAUGUGUCACUGUGUGAGAUUUUAUAAAUGCUGUUUAAUUAAAUGAAUCUUAAUAUUACUA